rnacentral:hammerhead_ribozyme from 1 species
GUCCAGCUGACGAGUCUCAAAUAGGACGAAACGCGAGUCCUGGAU